rnacentral:rRNA from 1 species
AUACGUAGGAAGCGAGCGUUAUCCGGAAUUACUGGGCGUAAAGCGCGCGUAGGUGGUCUUUCAAGUCGAAUGUGAAGUUUCCCGGCUUAACCGGGAAGGGUCAUUUGAUACUGUUGGACUGGAGAGCGGCAGGGGGAAGCGGAAUUCCCGGUGUAGUAGUGAAAUGCGUAGAUAUCGGGAGGAACACCAGUGGCGAAGGCGGCUUCCUGGGCUGUUUCUGACACUGAGGCGCGAAAGUGUGGGUAGCGAACAGAAUUAGAUACUCUGGUAGUCCACACCGUAAACGAUGGGUACUAGGUAUAGGGAGUAUCGACCCUCUUUGUGCCGAAGCUAACGCUUUAAGUACCCCACCUGGGGACUACGGCCGCAAGGCUAAA